rnacentral:ncRNA from 1 species
AAUUGAUUUAUUUUAUGUUAUAAGAUUAAUUUUAAUUUUAAUAUAUAUAUAAAUUUUUGUGAGUUUAUUUAAUAAUUUUAAAUAAAUUAUUAAUUUUUUUUUAUUUAUAGUAUAUAAUUUUAAUAAUUAAAUAAUUUUAGAAUUAGAAAUAAUUUUUAGUAUUGGUAAAAUUUGUGCCAGCAACUGCGGUUAAACAGGUGAUACAAUUUAAUUUUUUUAGGUAAAAUAGUUAAUAAUUUAAUUUUAUUAUAACUAUAAAAUAAAUUAUUUAGUGAAAUAUAUAAUUUAUAAAAUUUUAUAUAAUUUUAAUUAUAAAUCUACAAAAUUUUUAAUAUAAACUAGGAUUAGAUACCCUAUUAUUAAAAAAUAUAAAAAUUUAAUACUAAGUUAUUAAUAGAUAAGGUCUUUAAAGUUAAUAAUUUUGGCGGUAUUAUAGUCAUUUUAGAGGAACCUGUGUUAUAAUUGAURGUCCACAAUUUAUUCUACUUAAUUUAGUUAWUCAGYUUAUAUAYCGCCGUUUWYAGGAAAUUUUAAAUGAAAAAUUAAUUUUUWUAAUUUUUNNNAUAAARAAAAUAAUUCAGGUCAAGGUGUAGUUUAUAGUUAAGUAAAUAUGGGUUACAAUAAAAUUAUUUAAAUUUAUGGAWURAUAAUKRUAAAACAUARUGRAAAUGGAUUUAACAGUGAAUUAAAUAAAUUAAUUUAAUUGAUUUAUGCUCUAUAAUAUGUACAUAUCGCCCGUCACUCUCAUWUAUAWAUGAGAUAAGUCGUAACAUAGUAGAUGUACUGGAAAGUGUAUCUAGAAAGWUAUAU